rnacentral:tRNA from 1 species
GGUAGGGUGGCUGAGAGCGCAAGCGGUGGGUUGUAGCCCCAUAGACGGAGGUUUGAGUCCUUCCCUUAUCA